rnacentral:rRNA from 1 species
UACGUAGGUGGCAAGCGUUGUCCGGAAUUAUUGGGCGUAAAGCGCGCGCAGGCGGUUCCUUAAGUCUGAUGUGAAAGCCCACGGCUCAACCGUGGAGGGUCAUUGGAAACUGGGGAACUUGAGUGCAGAAGAGAAGAGUGGAAUUCCACGUGUAGCGGUGAAAUGCGUAGAGAUGUGGAGGAACACCAGUGGCGAAGGCGACUCUUUGGUCUUUAACUGACGCUGAGGCGCGAAAGCGUGGGGAGCAAACAGG